CCGUCGGGGUGGAUUAGUGGCGAACGGGUGAGUAACACGUGAGCAACCUGCCCUUGACUCUGGGAUAAGCCUGGGAAACUGGGUCUAAUACCGGAUAGUACCCCCUGCCGCAUGGUGGGGGGUGGAAAGCCUUGUGCGGUCUUGGAUGGGCUCGCGGCCUAUCAGCUUGUUGGUGGGGUGAUGGCCUACCAAGGCGACGACGGGUAGCCGGCCUGAGAGGGUGACCGGCCACACUGGGACUGAGACACGGCCCAGACUCCUACGGGAGGCAGCAGUGGGGAAUAUUGCACAAUGGGCGCAAGCCUGAUGCAGCGACGCCGCGUGGGGGAUGACGGCCUUCGGGUUGUAAACCCCUUUCGGCAGGGAACAAGCCGCUUCGGUGGUGAGGGUACCUGCGGAAGAAGCGCCGGCUAACUACGUGCCAGCAGCCGCGGUAAUACGUAGGGCGCGAGCGUUAUCCGGAAUUAUUGGGCGUAAAGAGCUCGUAGGCGGUUUGUCGCGUCUGCUGUGAAAGCCCGGGGCUCAACCCCGGGUCUGCAGUGGGUACGGGCAGGCUGGAGUGCAGUAGGGGAGACUGGAAUUCCUGGUGUAGCGGUGAAAUGCGCAGAUAUCAGGAGGAACACCGAUGGCGAAGGCAGGUCUCUGGGCUGUAACUGACGCUGAGGAGCGAAAGCAUGGGGAGCGAACAGGAUUAGAUACCCUGGUAGUCCAUGCCGUAAACGUUGGGCACUAGGUGUGGGGGCCAUUCCACGGUUUCCGCGCCGCAGCUAACGCAUUAAGUGCCCCGCCUGGGGAGUACGGCCG
rnacentral:rRNA from 1 species